UGUUAGUAAAUAGCUGCCUUGUAUUAGAAGUUGUUGUUUCCUUCACUAACGUCUGGAUCGGGAGAACAUUGAGCUGGUCAGGCCUGUAUGAACAACCAUGAGAUCACUGUUCAGUCAACGAACUCUAGACCAGCUGCGGCCCUGGAUGAUAAUAGCGGCGGUUUUGGGAUUAACAUUCUUUCUUCUCUGGCUGCGUGAUGAACCUACUAAACCAAUUUUUCCAUAGCCGACGCCUUUUAAUCGGACAUGGUGGGACGCUAAGUCAUAUCCGAAACAGAUGGGUCUACCCGAUUGUCAUACACCUGGUGCCAGCAGAUAUAAUAUAAGUCUUCUAAAUACUCGAAAGAAAGCAUUGGAUGUUCCGGAUGGACCACCCCCGGACAGGAACGAGCUUUGCAGUAUGUCCUUCCAAGAUCUGGAGAUGUACUACCACACGUGCGUCACAAAAUGUUUUGCGAGGUUGAGUAAUUCAUGUAAAUGAUCCGGCUGCCUAUUCGAGAAAAUUGUUACUGGAAUUGGAAGAAAGUUUAACAAUGGCUCAUACUAGAUAUUUUAUCAUAUUUGUACACAAUACAGACAGUGACGUUUUAAUUGAUAAAACUGCAUAAUAUGAAAUGGAAAAUGCAAUUUCAAAUUUGUAUGUAGAAAAUUGAUUAGGAAUUAUUAUCAAUACGAUAGUUUUGAGUCGGCCAAACAAUUUUUGAUAUUUCUUUUAUUACG